rnacentral:rRNA from 1 species
UACAGAGGUCUCAAGCGUUGUUCGGAUUCAUUGGGCGUAAAGGGUGCGUAGGCGGUGGGGUAAGUUGGAUGUGAAAUCCCGGGGCUCAACCCCGGAACUGCAUUCAAUACUGCUUUGCUAGAGUACUGGAGAGGAGAUUGGAAUUCACGGUGUAGCAGUGAAAUGCGUAGAUAUCGUAAGGAAGACCAGUGGCGAAGGCGGGUCUCUGGACAGUUCCUGACGCUGAGGCACGAAGGUCAGGGGAGCAAACGGG